AAUUUUUGAUUUAAAUUACAAUUUUAAAUUUGAACUGAAAGUUUUAUUUUAAAUUUGUGCUUUAUAUUUAAAAGUUGAAUUUGAUUUAUAAUUAAGUUUUUUAUGUUGUUUGGUAUUUAAAUUUACAGUUUAGUUGUAAUUUGAUUUCCAACUAUUGUUGUAGGUAUUUGAGAAGGUUAUAGUAUUCUUAGUCGGAUAAAACAAGUUUUGUACACCAAAAUAUUUUUCUAAGACCAAAAUACCAUUUAAAUAGGUUUCUGGUGAAUAGUACCUAUGCCAGAAUAGUAGGUCGCCUUUAGAAUCAUAUUACAUCUCAACCAUCUAUUUAAAAAAAUAAAUGGUCAAGAUUUACAUGGUGUAUUGAAAUAUUACUCAUAUAUAUAUAUAUAGUGAGGCUACUAUGCUUCUGGAAGCACGGAGCCUUCCGUGCUUCCAGGUCGUUUUCGAUGUUACGACUUUCGAAUCGUCGAUCGGCUCCGUUAAACUUGAUCUAGAGUAUUUGAAGUACCUAGAAAAUAAAUUUUAUGAUUUUUCGAUAUCAUUUGCCUAGUCAUUGAAGGAGCUCAAAAUCAAUNCUGUGAGAAAUUGACAGAGAUAUAUGGAUCGCUGGGGUGUAUAUCGUUGUGAAAAAUUUUCACAGCCAUUAAAAUCGAUCGUCGUGAAAAAACUAUAUAUGGAUAUAAAUUUUCACAGCGAUAUCUGGCAAAAAUAACAUCACAUAUAUAUUUUAUAGCGAAAUGAAGACACAAUCUUCAACAACAGUUGGUAUCCCGAAAGCGAAAGACUCGUAAAUAUAGAGUAGAACGAUGGAACCUUGAGCCACAUCGACGAAAUCCUGUUUUUUUUUUUGACUUGGACGGGUCUCAGGUAUCUAGACAUUUGAUUUCGUCCAAGGAAAAAAAAAAAGUUAAUUAUACAAAAUAUAAAAAUAAAAAUAAUUACUUGCCAAUCAUUAAUAAUAAUAAAGAUAUUUUAAUAAUAAAAUAGGAAAGUUUUAUGAAAAAAUAGUAGAGGGUGAAAAGAGUAAACGAGGAUUUCAAAUCAAACUAUAACUGCACUUAGAGUGAUCUUACCUCAACUCUUUUUUAUAUAUCCCUAUAUAAAAACGCAAAAAGCUAAAUUGGCAUCUUUUAUAUAGUAUUGACUGAUUGGCGUUAUACGCCUUAUGUUAUAAUACAUACCUUUGUUUGUCUUAUAAAAACGUAGCAGCAAAGAGUGAUAUGCAUUGCGUUAGAAAGGCGUUAGGGUUUGCUUCGAAUUCAAUCCCUGUGUUUUUCAUGAAACUAAUAACCAGAAAAGUUUAUUUUGUAAGAUGGUAGUAGUUAUAAAAAAUAAACGGGAAUUCAAUUCCUAUUUUUUCCAUAAAAUUAAAAAAAAUUGAGACUCUCUAUAAAUUGAAUACAAAUUGGGUCUAAUUAAAUUACCCACCAUUGACAUCCUCAUAAAACCUUAUUAUCUUUUUAUAUAUUCUCCAUAUAAUUUUUCUUUUUUUUUUCAUCCUUAUUUACAUUAUAAAAGCUUCAAAAGUCUCUAUAUAUCUAUUAAUAAGAAAGAAUUUAAAACGAUUUUACGACCAACUGGAAAAGUUUUCUCUCCAAAGCUCCUUUGUCAAAAUCUGAAAAAAAAUUAUUGAGAGUUGAACCACAAUUAUUGAACAUCGAUAAUAAAGUCAGUAAUGUCAACCAAUACGUCACGGAAAGUAAACCAAUUUAUUUAAAAUAUGUAUGGCUAGCAAGGAUCUCGUUUAACGUUUACCGAACUAUCAACUAUAGGCUCUGAGUUCAAGCUUAAGAUCAACUAAGUGUAAAGAUCGAUUCAAAUAAAGAUUUACUUUAUUUGCUUUGUCUAUCAUAGAUAGAGAAUUUUUUUUUUUUUUUUUUUAUGUACGACCAUAUAUUCUUACACUAAUCAGUUCAGUUGGAAUUGUUUAAGAAAAGUUUAAAAAUCACUUUAUUAAUUCUUAAACAAAACAACCGGUUAAACACCUCUUUAUUAUUUGUAAAUUUGUUGUGCUUGCUCGAUGUUCCAUGUAUUUAAUCGAGAAGCCAUUGAUGUGGAAAGAGUUUGGAUACCAUGGAUAGUCUUAUCCUAUACUUUUCAUGAUAAAUACUCUAAAGUUAGUCUUCACAUACUAAACGUGGGAAAAUAAAUUCUUAAAUGUUUUAAGAAAUUUGAACAUUAUAAAUAUUUAAAAAAAAAAAACUGUUCUUUCUCUCUUUAAAACCAAAAACUUACUUUUCUUACAUUCUAAAUGUAGGGAUUGUAACGAAAAAAUAAAUAGUUUCUUUUCACGGAUAGAGAGUAUAUUGGGUAAAGAAAACAACUUGAGAGACAAUCUUUCUGAUCAAUUGGAAGAAAAAAAAAAAAAAAAUUAACCCGAUAUUUUCUCUUUACGCCAACCACGCCUAGUAUCGGGUAAAGAACUCCUGGGUGAUUGGUUAUUCUACCAAGAGGGACACUCUUAUGAGUUUUUGGGUUCGGUGUUUUUUAUAUAAACCCACAGACGCUUCCCGGAGGGAUAAUCUUUCGCAUGCUUAUUAGGUUCGGUGUCUUUAAUAAACCCGUAGAGGCUUCUUUUAGUAUAUAUAUAUAUAUAUAUCUCUCUCUCUCUCUCUCUCUCUCUCCGACGACAACUAAACCUAGUAUAAUAAGUUGGUUAGUGGAUGAGUUGGGAUCUCCUAGUGAUAGUAAGAUUGAUUCCUGGUGAUAGUAGGAUUGGGGUAUAAGUAAGUAGGUUGCCGGCUUUUGAAUAUUCAUGUUUCUCGAGAUAUGAGUAUUCUCAUAUCAUCGAGAUCGUAUGUAUAAUAUAUAAAUAAUAUAUACUAAAAUUUUGACAACAGGAUUUAAAUAGCCGCUUGACCGUAUACCGUCGAACAUACAGUUAGGUAGAAUUAUUAUGUUCAAUUAAUAUAGAACCCGAUUAAAUGAUAUAAGCAUGAAACAAUUAUUUAUUAACAAAAAAGAAAAAAAGGAAAGUAAGAUAAUAAUACAUAGAACAUAUCAUGCGUUAUCAAUAAUCCAAUUUAAGAAAAAGAAGGGGUUAAUGCAACAGUUCUAAGUCAAUAAUUUUAACAAAAUUACGGGUAAAUGAUUGAAAAUAAAGUUCGUAAAUUUUGUACCCGAACCCUGUUGCUUAGAGUAAUUCGUUCCUUUCCACAGGCAAAGAUAGGUAGAAAAGCGGUAUUUGCCAUUACUUACUACCUAUGUAGAAAAUAAAGUGACAUUUUUUAAAAUUUCCAAUUUUUAAUGUAAUUCACAAUAAAAUUUUUAAUGUAUAUCAAAAUCAUAAGUAAGAGAGGGAAUUAUUCCAUGAUUUUAAUGUAACAUUAGGAGACAAGGUAUCAAAUGUGUAAAUAAUAUUUAUUUAUUUAUUAUUAUUAUUCAUACAGUAUACAAAAUGACAUUUUGAGAUAUAUUCCUAAGAAGUUAGAGGAACAUAGAUAUGAUAAAUUUCUAGAAAAGUACUUUACGAAAGGUCGGUAUAUCGUAAUAAUACCUGUUAAUUAAGGGAUGGUUUAAAUCGUUUAAACUGCACCUCCAAGAAACUAGUUCUUAAUAAAAUUAGUCAAUGAAUUAACCAUAAGAUAGAGUAAGUUAAACGAACCAUUAGACUCUAUUCUGUGUUCACAUGGCUAAAAGAUAACGUAAUUAACGUUGAAAAAACACUAGGUAAAUAACAAUAAUAUUAUAAUAAUAAUAAGAGACAAUAAGGUAACAACUGAGAAAUUAAACUAAACAAUGAAUACAUAUAAAGAGAGAUAUAUAUAUUUGUACCUUUUAUUAUCAACUUAUAGAUAUAAAAAUCCAUGCAUGGUACAUUAAUGAUGAGGUAAAGUGGUUAAUAUAAUAAAAUGUAUAAACAUGAGAAAAUCCUUAUUUGAAUACACUUCACUGUAUAUAGAUUGCUGAAUAAUCUCAUACAUUAAUUUAAAACUAAAAUUUGGCUCGUUCUACAAUAGUUUACCACGUCAAAAGUAUAUUAAAACAUCGAAAUCGUAACAUUUUUUUUAGGUUUAUUUAACAAUUCCUAAAAAAAAAAAUUUUUUUUAAUUUAUCCAUUAUUAUACAAUUUUUUAUAUCAAAUUUUUCUAAAACUUUUAAUCGUAUUAUAGGGUAAUCUAAUUAGAAUAUCAUCUAAGAGUUGAGGUUCUAAGCAAAAAAAAAAAAGAGAGAAAAAUAAGUUCUUAAAAUAUUUUUAUUAUAAUUUUUGAUCCACAUCGACGAGACACGUAAAUGUGCCCAAUGAAUCAUCACACAGGUAUUUCAAGUGCGGUUGUUGGACUCAUCAAGAACCACCAAGAUAUAACCUAUAAUAUAUAUAUUUUGUCAGCUACGGAUGUAAUAAUUAACUCUUUAAUAACGCACGAGAACCAAGGGGUUGUAAUGAGCACAUGGUGGGCACCUGGUGAAGAAUCAUUGAAGUGUGAGGUUCAAAUUUUUCAAAAUUAAUAAAAAUUCGGCAUCAUUACUUCAUCUAAGAGAUGCCAUUUAUAAACCCCCCAGGUAUUGACUGCACCACCUGGGACAGGAAGGCAGCCACUCGGCACCUUUAUUCCUACUUUAUAAAGUUUGAAUUUUAAUAUUAAAUUUGAAAUUAAACUUAGGUAUUUAUAUUAAAUUCAAAAUUUACUUUAAACUUAUUUUGAAAUACAUUUAAUUUUAAAUUAAAUUUAAGUUUAAGUAUUCAAUCUAAGCUUUAUGAACUAAUUUAAAAUUAAAAAUUAAAUUCAAAUUUAAUUUUAAUUUUUAAUUUUUAAAUUAAAGAUUCAAAUUUGAGUAUAAAAUUAAUUUUUCAACUUUUUUUUUUUAAAUUAGGCUUAUUUAUAGGUAAGGCAUGCCAAAGUUGAAGGUAAGACCGGAGGAUCCGGCCUAACUUUUUUGUCCACUAAUCCUUUAAGAGUAAGGUGAGCCUUUAGCCUUAGCCUUACUCUGAGGGCACAUAGUUUGUGGGUGUUUGCCUAAACGGGUAAAGCUAGCUAAGGCUAAGGUACCACUUUUUUUCGCUUGGUUUGUAUGGCAUUCGAAUGCGUUAUACGUGCUUGUUAAUUACUCUAAUCAGUUUUAGUGCCUCUUACGUAACACAUUUUACUUAUGAAUGUUUUUUUAUAAAUUCCAACUACCCGGUGAUCAAUUGGUGUUCUUUGGAUUAGAACACCCGGUACCUCCUCGUGUAGUGUCGGUAUUUUUACACUCUUUAAUAAUGAACGUGGGUCACGUAAGUAUACAGAUCACGUGACGCGUAAUAAAUUUACAGGACCGUGUACGUUAUUUAAUAUAGGACUAAAUCUUUUUAUAUCUAUUUUUGUAUAACUUAAUAAGACUUAAUUCUUGAUAAAACUUAACCGAUAGAUUAGAAAGCUUUAAACUAACAUGAUAGGUUUAAGAAGUUAAAUAAACUGAAUUCAGUUGGUUGGCAUAAAUCAAAUUGUUUAAAUAUCAGCAUUUUUUAAUGUAUUCUAUAGCAUUGAUUCGGACACUUCUAUUUGUCGCAUUAUUUUUAAAAUUCAGUUUCAUAGUAACCGACUAAAUUUAGUAGUCUACUUAAUGGUUCAACCUAUCAUUUUAAUUUUAAAACUUUCUAACACAUCAAUUAAGUUUUACUAGGUAUCAAGUGUGCUUAAGUUAUGCAUAAAUCCUUCUUAUAUAUUAUUUUAUAAUGGUUACCACAUAUGCUCUAUACAUGUGCUCCACGUGCGUUAUUAAAGAGUUCUUUUCACCUAUAAAACAACGGACAUGUUUCCCUGUUCUCAUUAUUGAUCCAGGUUUUGGAUUAGGUGUUGAAAAUUAGUGUGUGUGUAGGGACAAAAAAAAAAAAAAAAAAAUAGAGUUAAAUAGUUGGAUUAGUUAAUGAUGAUGAUAAUUUCGUUAUUUUGGGGUGUUUUUACAAUUAGGUAACUGGUUAGUUUUCGGUUGUUUUUUCGUACAUUUUUCCUUUAAAAAAUUUGUUUUUUAUUUUCUUCUAGAAUUUUUAUUGUUAUUAUUGACUCUUUUCCAGCCAGGGAACGCACUCACAGUUUAGGGGAAUAUAAGAGAGAGAGAAAGAGAGAGAGAGAGAGAGAUAGAGUGAUAAAGAGAGAGAUUUUGGAACAAAGUGAGAGAGGCUCUAAAGAAGAAAAGAGAGAGAAGAGGGGAGAGAGAGAGAGAUAGAGAGAGAGAGAGAGAUCUCGAGAAGUGAACCACGCCUCUUCUUUACGAGGCUUUAAAGUUCCAUUAGGUUUGUUCGACACUUUUAAGAUCUAAUCAGGGAUUUCGGGGAAUUCAAAAAGAAAAUUAGAGAGAAAAAAAAAGAGUCUAAACAACAUCCAAUAGUUGCAAGUGCCUCAACCAAGACCAACAAAAGACGUUAACAGUGUUUAAAGCACGGUGCUAAUUUAAAAAUCAUAAGAGCAUAUAUGUCAUCAUCACAAAAAAGAAGAGGAGGAGAAAAACAAACUAAAAAAAAAAAAAUUUUUUUUUCAAAAACAUAGGAUUUUAAUUUGUUUAAGCUACGUUUAACGAAAGCAUGCCUUUUUUUCUCUCUUUUUGGGACAGGAGCUAAAGGGACGAGAGGCGGUCUUAGUUUUCAAGGAAAAAUGGCUAUAACCUAAAAGAGUGCUGAUAAUUUACCAAUACUUAUUUAAGCAUUUAAUAACCGCUGAAACUCUAUCUCGUUGGCUGCGGUGGCGGAGGAGGACGACAGGAAAGGCUCUUCGUCUAGAAUUUCAGUGGAUUGAGUGAAGAGAGAAGAAAAGAUGGUAAUUAAUUUAUCUUUUUUUUUCUUUUCUGUUUGUAAUCGGGUCAAAUGAACUGGGUGUGGUGGGUUGAGUAGAGUAAUCUUUUAUUUUUGGUUGGAUUGGACUUUAUAUUUAGGCAUAAGUAGAUGUUUUUUUAAAUUUUAGCAUAAAUGAGACACUUAUUCAAAAGUGUCCCAAACAUGUGUCCCUAUAACCUAAUUUUGUUGUAGUGAUAUAUAUAUAUAUAUAUAUAUAUAUAGAGUGAGACUACUAUGCUAAAAGAAGUACGGAGCCUUCCGUGCUUUCAACUCGUUUUCGAUGUUGCGACUUUCGAAUCGUCGAUCGGCUCCGUUAAACUUGAUCUAGAGUAUUUGAAGUACCUAGAAAAUAAAUUUUAUGAUUUUUCGAUAUCAUUUGCCUAGUCAUUGAAGGAGCUCAAAAUCAAUAAUUGUAAUGGCCGUUGUGAGCCGUUUGCAUGUUUAAUGGCGUAGAAAUAUCCAAAUCACGUGAAAUUUCGAUAGAAAUUCUUUAUACUAUAUAAUACUAUAUAAAACAAGAUCAAUAUCUUUGAUUUAAAAUUUUAAUGUCAUAUUAUUACAUUUUGUAAGAUUUUUAUUUUCAGCCGUUGAUUUUGAGCCCCUUCGUUCACUAGGCAAAUGAUAUCGUAAAAUCAUAAAAUUUAUUUUCU
rnacentral:lncRNA from 1 species